UCCCUGGUGGUCCAGUGGGUAAGACUCCGCACUCACAAUGCGGGGGGCCUGGGUUCGAUUCCUGGUCAAGAAA